GGCAGCACGACGUAGCAAUACAUUGGUGGCGACCGGCGCACGGGUGAGUAACGCGUAUGCAACCUACCUAUCAGAGGGGAAUAACCCGGCGAAAGUCGGACUAAUACCGCAUAAAACAGGGGUUCCACAUGGAAAUAUUUGUUAAAGAAUUAUCGCUGAUAGAUGGGCAUGCGUUCCAUUAGAUAGUUGGUGAGGUAACGGCUCACCAAGUCCACGAUGGAUAGGGGUUCUGAGAGGAAGGUCCCCCACACUGGUACUGAGACACGGACCAGACUCCUACGGGAGGCAGCAGUGAGGAAUAUUGGUCAAUGGGCGAGAGCCUGAACCAGCCAAGUCGCGUGAAGGAUGAAGGAUCUAUGGUUUGUAAACUUCUUUUAUAUGGGAAUAAAGUGAGGAACGUGUUCCUUUUUGUAUGUACCAUAUGAAUAAGCAUCGGCUAACUCCGUGCCAGCAGCCGCGGUAAUACGGAGGAUGCGAGCGUUAUCCGGAUUUAUUGGGUUUAAAGGGUGCGUAGGUGGUUAAUUAAGUCAGCGGUGAAAGUUUGUGGCUCAACCAUAAAAUUGCCGUUGAAACUGGUUGACUUGAGUAUAUUUGAGGUAGGCGGAAUGCGUGGUGUAGCGGUGAAAUGCAUAGAUAUCACGCAGAACUCCGAUUGCGAAGGCAGCUUACUAAACUAUAACUGACACUGAGGCACGAAAGCGUGGGGAUCAAACAGGAUUAGAUACCCUGGUAGUCCACGCAGUAAACGAUGAUUACUAGCUGUUUGCGAUACACAGUAAGCGGCACAGCGAAAGCGUUAAGUAAUCCACCUGGGGAGUACGCCGGCAACGGUGAAACUCAAAGGAAUUGACGGGGGCCCGCACAAGCGGAGGAACAUGUGGUUUAA
rnacentral:rRNA from 1 species